ACAUCAUUCCACUGAAAGACCAACUGUAUAUCUUUUCACUGGUCAUUAUAGCAAGUUGCAUUCCUUAGUUGAUAAAAUUCCCCAGAAAACUUUAUUAAAAUUAUUUCUAAUGUGUUGACAUUUAUGAAGUUAAUUUUGGCAACAUCAUUGCAAGGUGCGUUGUUACAUGCAAUUACAGAUUCUUUGGUUACAUGUUUUUGUUGUUAAUGGAAUAUUAGUGAAGAGAAUAUUGUGUUUUGAAGAUUGCUUUGCAUUUCCUAUAUACUGUGUACCACUAGCAUGAAGAGUGAUGCUCGCUAUUUGUUAAA